rnacentral:rRNA from 1 species
UACAGAGGUCCCAAGCAUUGUUCGGAUUCACUGGGCGUAAAGGGUGCGUAGGCGGUCGGGUAAGUCUGAUGUGAAAUCUCACAGCUUAACUGUGAAACUGCAUUGGAUACUAUCCGGCUCGAGGAAUGGAGGGGAGACUGGAAUACUUGGUGUAGCAGUGAAAUGCGUAGAUAUCAAGUGGAACACCAGUGGCGAAGGCGAGUCUCUGGACAUUUCCUGACGCUGAGGCACGAAAGCCAGGGGAGCAAACGGG